CCUCAGUAACGGCGAGUGAGCGGCAAAAGUCCACCUUUGAAGUAUUGACGUGGUUGGGAGAGGUUAUUGCACAAGUCGCCUGGAACGGCCGCCAAAGAGGGUGAUAGCCCCGUAGCAUACAACCAAUCUUCCCAGCCGACAGAGUCGAGUUGUUUGGGAAUGCAGCUCUAAAGGUGGUAGGGUCCAUCAAAGACUAAAUAUCAGCGAGAGACCGAUAGCAAACAAGUACAGUGAUGGAAAGAUGAAAAGAACUUUGAAAAGAGAGUGAAACAGUGCGUGAAAUUGUACCCGCUGAACUUAAGCAUAUCAAUAAGCGGAGGAAAAGAAACCAACAGGGAUUGCCUCAGUAACGGCGAGUGAAGCGGCAAAAGUCCACCUUUGAAGUAUUGACGUGGUUGGGAGAGGUUAUUGCACAAGUCGCCUGGAACGGCCGCCAAAGAGGGUGAUAGCCCCGUAGCAUACAACCAAUCUUCCCAGCCGACAGAGUCGAGUUGUUUGGGAAUGCAGCUCUAAAGGUGGUAGGGUCCAUCAAAGACUAAAUAUCAGCGAGAGACCGAUAGCAAACAAGUACAGUGAUGGAAAGAUGAAAAGAACUUUGAAAAGAGAGUGAAACAGUGC
rnacentral:rRNA from 1 species